UACAGAGGCCACAAGCGUUAGUCGGAAUCACUGGGCUUAAAGCGUGUGUAGGCGGGAUGGUAAGUACUUUGUGAAAUCCCACGGCUUAACCGUGGAAUUGCUUGGUAUACUGCCGUUCUUGAGUCAUCUAGGGGCAGCCGGAACAGAUGGUGGAGCGGUAAAAUGCGUAGAUAUCAUCUGGAACGCCAAUGGUGCAGACAGGCUGCUGGGGAUGUACUGACGCUGAGGCACGAAAGCCAGGGGAGCAAACGGG
rnacentral:rRNA from 1 species